rnacentral:lncRNA from 1 species
CAUAAAAAUGGGCUUUAAGACCCCCCCAAAAUGCGUUUCUUUUACCCAAAAAAUGGAUCAAAUUCGAUCAGGGUGGGGCGAAGCAGCCAAAUUUUGGGGACAAAAAAGGCAUUUUUUACCAAUCUGUGGAAAAAUUUAAGCUUUGUAAUUAAAAAAAAAAAGUCGAAAUUUCAUUUUGGGGGGUUUUGGGGCUGGGGUGGAAAUGGAGGUUUUUUGAAGCAGACCCCCCAAAAUGCCUUAAAUUGGCUUAAAAAUGCCUUAAAAACGAGCGUUUAUGAGUGGAAAUCUGUGAGAUUUUGGGGGAAGUUUCUCAGAUUUUGGGUCAGUCCGUGAGGAAAACAUGGAGGGCUCCAUUAGCAGUUAUUGGAAGAAUUCGUGUGGAGAUUUUGGGGUAAAAAUGUGAGAUUUUGGGUCAUUCCAUGAGGAAAAGAUGGAGAACUCCAUGAGGAGAUUUGGGGGGGGAUUUGUGUGGAGAUUUUGAGGUAAAAAUGUGAGAUUUUGGGUCAUUUUGUGACAGAAAAGGUGGAGGACUCCAUGAGGAGAUUUUGGAGGAAUUUGUGUGGAGAUUUUGAGGUAAAAAUGUGAGAUUUGGGGUCAUUUUGUGACAGAAAAGGUGGAGAACUCCAUGAGGACAUUUUGGAG